rnacentral:lncRNA from 1 species
CCGGUAUGCAUGUGGCAUUUCCAUUGUAGAAUGUGUACAGUGUGGUGGUACCUGCCUCUGUGUGUAUUAUUCAUGAAUGAAUAACAAAUAAAAACCAGAGCAAAGAGGUGGGACACACACACACACACACACACACACACACACACACACAAAAAUCACCAGUAGAUAUUAAGAGAUUAUGGUACGCACUAAAUUCUAAACCUAUGGGAACGCUCAAAACGUUUUGUCCAAUCGGAAAGCCAGAAUGUCCUGAGUCAACAACCAAUAGGAUGGUCGAUAUGAUGUGUGCUAAAUGCGCCAUUUUAGCGCGUCUCCAGCCAUCCGGUAUGAUGGCGACUUUGCUUUGUCUCCGGUGAACAGGGUUGCUUCAAUACUUUCUCUAUAUAUAUGUUUUUUUUCUUUCCUAAAAUACAAACUACUGGGAAUUAACAUUGUUUUUUAUUUUUAUCUCCGGGACGACGUGCCAAGAACUACACGUGUCUUCAGUCGUUGAAGAAAUGCCGACAGAGUACAGAAGGUAAAAUGAGUAAGGCCUCAGCUGAAUCUACAGACCAGGUGAUGGAGGAGGAAGUAGGUCAACUUCCAAUUACAGACCAGAUGGAGGAGGAGGCUGGGAGCUCAACAGAGACUGAGACACCCUCUUCUUCUCACACCAAGAGGAAGCCUGCUGUCGCAGCCAAGCAAGUUGGAGGUAAUGAGUCGGACACCUCGGACGAGAGUGGACAGGAAGAUGGCGCCUCAGAUGGGAUGUUGGUUGUGCAGCCUCCUGCUGGGACUGACAACAAGGAGGACAAGAGCAGAGGAGCCAUGAAGCUCCGAGUGGACCUCUCACGGAGAAAGACAGGUAAAAUGAGUAAGGCCUCAGCUGAAUCUACAGACCAGGUGAUGGAGGAGGAAGUAGGUCAACUUCCAAUUACAGACCAGAAGGAGGAGGAGGAAGUAGAUCAACUUCCGAUUACAGACCAGAUGGAGGAGGAUGCUGGGAGCUCAACAGAGACUGAGACACCCUCUUCUUCUCACACCAAGAGGAAGCCUGCUGUCGCAGCCAAGCAAGUUGGAGGUAAUGAGUCGGACACCUCGGACGAGAGUGGACAGGAAGAUGGCGCCUCAGAUGGUAAGGUCUGGGGCCACUAGACCUGGGGCCAGCAUGCGUUUUAGUGCUUCUUAAUAUCAUUGUGGAGCCAAAAGGUGCAUUUCCACACUUUGUGGAUAAUGUUU